rnacentral:rRNA from 1 species
CAGCCGCCGCGGUAAUACGUAGGGUGCAAGCGUUAAUCGGAAUUACUGGGCGUAAAGCGUGCGCAGGCGGUUAUAUAAGACAGAUGUGAAAUCCCCGGGCUCAACCUGGGAACUGCAUUUGUGACUGUAUAGCUAGAGUACGGCAGAGGGGGAUGGAAUUCCGCGUGUAGCAGUGAAAUGCGUAGAUAUGCGGAGGAACACCGAUGGCGAAGGCAAUCCCCUGGGCCUGUACUGACGCUCAUGCACGAAAGCGUGGGGAGCAAACAGGAUUAGAUACCCCUGUAGCCCUGUCUCUUAUACC